UAUAUAUAUAUAUAUAUAUAUAGGGAAGAGAUCAUGUGAAAAUACAUCCUUAUGUGAGUAUACUAGUAUAUAUGAGAAUGAAUCUAAUCCGUAGGAUUAGAUUCAAUCUAAUGGCUAGGAUUAAUUUGAGCAAACCCAUCCACCUUCCCCAUUAAGCCACGUCUCUAUCAAUAAACCCCACCACUUUCUCUCUCUAAAACCUUUCCUCUUCUUUCUCUCUCCCGUUCAAGACUCCUGUUCUCCCUCCUCUCGCAGAAACCUCAGCGAUUUUCUCUCUCCUCUCGCGAAAACCACCAUCGCAGCUCCGAUUUUCUCUCUCCGUUCAAGACUCUCUGUUCGCCGCCGGUGUAUUGAAGAUUUAAGAUGACUGGAGUACAAAAACAAUACGAACGACGAAGCAAACACAAACAUGACAAACAAGCAACAAAUCCAGACAAUACUGAAGAAGGAAAUAAGAAUGAACGCGCCAAAGAAACGGAGCCAAUUGUCCCGUCAUCACUUUUGAACGACAUCAUGA